GUUUUUUCUCUUAAAGCUGUUAUUGAUGGGGUGUCUUAAAAUUGAGGAAGUACAGAAAUUGCUAUUCUUGGUGAUGCCCUUGAAUCUUUAAGUGAAGGUUUAAAUUUUGUUUAGCACAUACAUAUGUAUAUUUUUAAAAUAGUAGCUCUUAAAAUAAUUUAUAAAGUUUUUAUAAUACACUUUUAUAAAGUUUUAUAAAGUCUGUCCAAAAUGUUUGUUUUUACAGACUCUUAAAUACAGAGAACAAACUGAUGGUCAGCAGAGGGGAUGUGGGUGGGGGCAUGGGGGAAAUAGGUGGAGGGGAUUAAGUACACUUACCAUGAUGAGCCCUGAGUAAUGUACAGAAUUCUUGAAUAACUGUGUCGGACACCUGAAACUAAUAUAAUACUGCAUGUUAACUCUACUGGAAUUAAAAUUAGAAACUUAGUAAAAUUGAAAAAAAGUUUUUAUUUUUAAAAGUGUUCAUGAUUCAGUGAAAGGUAAACCCUUAGAUGUCGGGAAGCCUCAGCAGUCCCGUUCUCUGAAGGUUCCCCGUGCUGGUGGCUUGCCUGUCCUGUCCAUCGACAGUCCGUGUCCAUUUCCCCCUCCCUGCCUCACACCGAGCACACGGUUUACAGAGCAAACUGUUUAAACAGAGUAGUGAGAUAGGCAGGCAGACGGGUAAUCUGAAUGUUUUCACGUGAGGAUACUGAGGACGAAGGCACGCAAAGUAAUCCUCCCAAGACCGCACACCAUGUGAGGGACAGACAGGGAGCACACUCUCUUUAGCUGCCCACAACUUUAUUCAAAUCACAGAGCUGUGUGGCCUGGAUUGAGGCAAAAAAAAUCAGAUGAACUUGCCAAUAAUUCAAGAUGACUGAUUAUUGGAUAGUCUUCCCAAAAAAGCGGUCGCUUGAGACAUUUAGGGCUGGUUGGAUGCAUCCCUGGAAAUAUAUUAUGAAGAAUAUGGAAAAUAUUUCACUUCUAAUUUCCAGAAUCAAUAUUGUAAUGUCUGUCAUUUUUAUCCCCCUACCUGUGAAAUUGAAAAUUUUUUUAGUAUACUUAAACUGAAUUCUCACGGCUUUUUAAAAAAUGCUAAAUAUUCCCUGCCUCCUUUUCUCCCCCAACUCUCUGGCCCCGACAAGUCACUCCAAGCUGUGUUUCCCGAUCUCUGCUUUUUUUCGUCCUUGCCCUUUCGUACUGCAUUGCUUGCCCAAAACACAUUGACCGGAUCCCUGCAGUUCUUCUGUGAAACAGACAACCAUGGUUCUGACACAAAGCUGGGCUCUUUGGCCCAUGGGAGAGCCAUGGGGAUUGAGUGGGAUUGCUUUAUGGGAUAUUCUGAAUUUCAUAAUUUCUUUUCAAUAGCACUGGAUUCUCUGUGUUUGAGUUUUUCUGAAUGUGUAAAUCCAUAUUGCGAAAGAGAUUGGUUAAUGUAUAUUGUUUAAAGCAGGAUAAAAUAAAGACUCAUUUAAUUGGAACUCUUAAGGAAGAGCAUUUUUUUAUGUGUUCCACUUUUUUUUUUCUCCCCCAACUUUAGUAUUAAGAACCUUAUUGGAAAAAGACUUUUGCCAAGUAUCUGAUGGGAAGCCAAGAAAAGCAUUUUAAUAGAACUGUCUCAAAUUUAUAGUGCACCAGGGCCUGCAAAUAAAUUUUCCUGUCUUUAAGGUUUGCGCUGAUUUGCAGUUACUUUGUAUAGCUUCUGAGAUUUAAAUCCUCACAGUCCAGAUGGAGAGACCAUAAAGCUGCUUUCCUUGGCAGCCCUGGCACACCUUGUCCCCAGGCAAACAGAAGUGAGUCGUGUGUGCAACCUGGUCUGGAAAUGCUCACUUAUCUUAUUAUGGUACCAGCUUUAAUGAGUUCAGUGGCUCUUCCUAGAGCAGCCCACCUAAAUAUUCUCCAAAUGUAGGAGAAUUAGAGUCUUUAAUUUCAUAAUGCAAACCCAUCAAAUAAGUAUGUAUUAAGCACCUGCUCUAUUCCUAGUAUUAUACAGGCAUAUUGAGGGAGACUUUUUUUUUUUUUUUUUUUUUUUACGAAGCAGGGUGAAGGGCUCAGAUCCUGUCUUUAAGAAAGGCCCCGAGGCUGCUGGGGAGAGUCCUUUCAGUAAUACACCCACUACAAGGCCAGAAGUGCUGUCACUCAGGUGUGCUAUGGAGAGUCAGGAGUCAAUCGGAGGUGAAGGGAAUCUUCACAGCGGCUAGGCUCGGAGAGAGAGAGCACAAGCAGGGGGAGUGGCAAGCAGAGGGAGAAGCAGGCUCCCCGCUGAGCAGGGAGCCCGACGCGGGACUCGAUCCCAGGACCCUGGGACCAUGACCUGAGCUGAAGGCAAACACUUAACCAACUGAGCCCCACCCAGGCGUCCCUGAGCAAGGACUUCGAAUAGCAGCGGCCUAGGAGGAAGGGGAAAGCAGUAUUCAUUAAGGAGAUUGAGAAACAAAAUCAAAGAAGGGACCUUCGAAACUGUUCAACCUUUCUUCGUAUUUUAUAAAUGACACAUAAGCCCUAGAGGUCAGGUGAUCUUUUUUUUUUUUUUUUUAAGAUUCUAUUUAUUUAUUUGAGAGAGAGCGAGUGUGUGUGUGCGCGCGCGCGCACGAGCAGGGGGAGUGGCAGGCAGAGGGAGAAGUGGGCGGGACUUGAUCACAGGACCCUGGGAUCGUGUCCUGAGCCAGAGGCAGAUGCUUCACUGAGUGAGCCACCCAGGCGUCCCAAGUUCAGGUGAUCUUGAGAAUGAAGUGUUAGGGCCAGGGUUGAGCCUGACUGGAUCCCAGGUCUCCUCACUAUCUGUCUGAUGAUUUUGGGUGGGGGUGGGGGAGCCCGGACAUUGGGUACUGCAGUAUUUUCCAGACCAAGGGUCAUGAUUCGUUAGUUAGAUCAUGAAGUCAAUUCACUGGGUGAUGACUGGCAUUUAAUUUUUUUAAAAAUGAAAUAUAAUAGAAAGGACAAUAUCAGCAUAUUACCCAGUAAAGAUAAAUACUUUCAGAAACCUCUAUUUCAGUUAUAUAUGUGGAUGAGCUAUGAGCUCAGUAUAAAAUAUGUUCAUUUCUUAGUCCAAAAAGUUUGAAAAAUGUUGGCAGUGGCAAGCACGUGGGUUUUUGAGUUGGAGAGACCUGAGUUCUAAAUCCUAAACUGUGCCACAAAUCCUAACCUGUGUCUGUGGGCCAGUUACUUAACUUGUUGAAGCUUCCCUUUCCGUACUUCAGACCUGGGGCUAGUACCACUGUGGAGCAGUUGUGUUGAUUACAUGAAAUCAUGGAAGCAUCUGGGUUCUGGUCUGCCUGCUCCAUGCUGGCAGUCAUUUGGGAUUGCUCUGCUUGGGUUUGGGUUUGAAUAUUGGAAGGAGCCUUCUGGUAUGGAGUUUGGUCUUAAGGAACCACAGUGAGUUACCAACAUGGAUGUAUUAUGCAUUUGCUUCUGGGCUUGGAAACUUGAAACAAUUUAUUCCUGUGGGUCUGGUGUACUUUCUACAUCUUGGCAUGGAAGGCAGUUCACCUCUCUGUUUUUCUGUUAGGAUCCGAAUGGCUGAUUAAAAUCCGUAGUUCUCGGGGCGCCUGGGUGGCUUGGUCAUUAAGCGUCUGCCUUCGGCUCAGGUCAUGAUCCCAGGGUCCUGGGAUCGAGCCCCGCAUCGGGCUCCCUGCUCGGUGGGAAGCCUGCUUCUCCCUCUCCUGCUACCCCUGCUUGUGUUCCCUCUCUCUCGCUGUGUCUCUCUCUGUCAAAUAAAAAAAAAAAGUGUUUCGCUAGCUAGCCUUUAAAAAAAAAUUCAUUGGCGCGUUUGGAUAAAGCACUAUUACUUUUUCUUCUUUCCAGUGAGAAAAAAAUUUUGUACUGAGUUUUUUUUCCUUCUUCAGAUGUGUUCUCUGCCAAAUGAUGAUUUUAUUCAUUUUUUGAACUGAAAAAUUAAAAAAGAAAUGAACUUAAAGAGAAAAGUUACGAUCAGAAUUGACGCUGGGGUGGUAAAGGGUUGAAGAACUUGAGUUCACUGGGUAAGAACUAAAAAUAAAGGGAAUUUUUAUGAGCGUUUAAGAGGACCGGCCAGAUAGCUUUUAGAAAUAGCUGUUGUUCCCAUCUCACUGAAAAGAGACUGAGUUCUGUUCUAUUUCCCAGUACUCUCUGCCUCUUCCUUUUUCCUCUCCUCCUCCUGCUACCUCUGCCUCCCUCCCCCCAUUACUUUCUGGCCAGCUCUAUCCCAGAUUUAAAAUCACUCUGGGGAGCGGGGACGGGAGCUUCAUCCCCCAGAUGAUGUGGGCCAGGGGCUAAAACACUGCCAUAAAUCUGUAGCUCAUUUUAAUGCCACGUUAAACCAGUGUGAGCGGCUGGUUUCCGUGGCCCCUGCCCUGUUUCUUUAUGGGCGUCUUUGGCUCUUCUUUCUAAAGAGGCCCCGCGGAGUCAUUUUAAAGUUCUUAUCAGUUUGCUGACAGCUAUAUGGGUCUUUCUGCCGAGUCCAGGAGCUCAGGCAGGCGUGUGAAACUUCUGAUAUUAAAAUUGAAGAAAAAUGCCAGGCAGGAGGGAUUGGGUGGUGUGGCCGUGAUUUGGAGGUCAAAGACUAGCGAGCUCAUUAACCUGUGCAGAUCCAGAACCCUGCCCUUGGCUGGAUGAGUCGCUUUCUUGGUUGGUGGAGGCAGCCAUUUUAUCCCUCGAUUAGAAAGUGCCAUUCCACGGGCAGUUUGUGCUUUCGAGCUUCGGCAAGUGAGUUGGGCAGCCCCGAAGGGCUAGGGGAGCCAAGUUUACCAUGUACGUGUUUUCUAAAGGCCGCCUGACUGGCUGGGCGUCUGCUCACACGUCUUUGCCCGCUCUGGCUUGCCGUGUCUUUGCCCACAGCAUCACUUACCAAAUUUAAAGGGACUCUCCUCAGUCUGCUUUGCUGCCCCUUUUAGACCAGACUGCUAACCCCCAGUAAUCCUCCCAGAGUGCUUCAUGGAAACGCCAGGCCCUCUAUAAAUGUCAGCCUGCAAUACCUGGCCCUUUUUACCCUCUCACUUACAGAGAAGUGGACUGGAAGCUGCUCCUCCCUCUUCCCUACCACUUUUCCUUUCUUUCUUUGCUGGAAAACUCCCGCAGCAGACAGCUGAGGGGAAGGAAAAACCAUUACCUGGAUCAAGGCCAGCAGCUUGAUGGGAGCUUCAGAAUCUCUGGCAUCUCCAGACCAGAAUGUUUUUCCAGGCGUUUCAAAAGGUGCUCCCCUGCCCUCCUUCUCCUUUCAGUUUUCCAACCUUGAGUUCCAGAGUGGAUGGAAUAUGCCCUCAGGAUGUGCUUUCUAUCUGCCUGCUCUUCUCCUAACUGAAGCCUUUAGGAAGACAUUAGUAGAGAUAAGCAAAACCCAAUGGAUAUGUAUUUUUAAGUGCUGCGUACCCUUUUGGCACCAAACACAUUAUUUUUCCCUUUUCAGAUAGUUUUGGACAUGAGCAGUUUUGCAAGUGUGUUCAAUUUAAAAUAGCCAUUUAACUUGAGGUUGAGGCAAAAGCAAGGAAUUUUUGUAGUAAGUUAGUCAAAUUAUAUGGCUGUUGAUCUAGGAUUAAUGAUUUUCAUUGAGUGAACAGUAAAAAUAUACUGGUUUGUUUUAUUGCUCAUGUAGCUCCUGUGGGGAGAGUAAUUAGGUAUAAAAACCAAACGAGCAAUAAAACAAAAUGUCCCAAACUCCAAAGCGAUAGAACUGCUUUUUUAUACAUUUUUUGGGUGGACUAAAUUGAUAUCUGGUAAUCAGUUAAGAAGUUUAACAAACUGGGUAUUAUUGUUUAUGGUGUAAUUUUAACAAACUUACUGAAAAAAUAUGUAAGUUAUGAGACUAAGUUACAUAAAAAUAACUUGAGUAUAUUGGAAGUUCUCCGUAAAUACGUGAUUAUGAACAAUCAUUGCACAGCCUUUUCAUGAUGGGAUGGUCAGUUUCCUCUUUGGGCAUUAGUUGGAGAGCUGUCUCUAGAGUUAACAUGGGUUAAUCCCUUUUAAUGAGUCCCCAGUAUGGGACAUUACUUCAGGAAAUGGCCUCUCUAAUAAAAGUGUUAAAUAUUAAUUUGCAGCCUAUAUAAAAAUUGUCUGACUCUUUGGGGCUGGUUUCCCACAGAGUGGGACUAUUUGGAAGCAUUUCUGAGAAAUAAUUGCUCAUUACGGGAAACCCAGUGCAGCUUUUGUAAAUUUGUUAUAUGCUUAAAACAUAUCUAGGUUUGUUUACAAAACAAUAACCUGUCAAUUAUCAAGUAUUUUUAUGUUUGGUAAAGAAUUUACUGUAUUCAGGGGCACCUGGGUGGCUCAGUUGGUUAAGCGACUGCCUUCAGCUCAGGUCGUGAUCCUGGAGUCCUGGGAUCGAGUCCCACAUCGGGCUCCCUGCUCAGCGGGGGGUCUGCUUCUCCCUCUGACCCUCUUCCCUCUCGUGCUCUCUGUCUCUCAUUCUCUCUCUC